GAUGCUUUGACGAUAAAUACUUAUUAAAAUUCAAAUUAUUUAUUUCUGCCUUGUAAAGGUACAGACAGCAGAGGCGCAGAAAAAGCUGUCAGAUACAGAUUGACAAAGCCGCAGCCCCCUUUCGCUUGGCAGAGCCUUUACAGCGACACUUUUAAAACAAAGACAAUUGCACCCGGUAAUAACAGGUAUACAAUACUGAGCAAGUACAAAAGGAAACCAAUCAAGAUUAUACGAUAUUUGUACAAUACUCCCAAACAAGAAAACAGAACCUACAUGCUAACGUACAUAGCACCCAAAGUACUGUUCGACACGUUGAAGAGGUCAAAAUUAUUGUUCACAUAAGGUAUAUACAUAUUCGUAUAGCGCUACCAAUCCCUGCAAAAUAUAGAACGCAGAUUUUCAUUACACACACGCACGCACGCACGUACACAGCACACACACCAAAAGGAAACGGCAACGCGCUCACAGGAAGCGCCUGAAAAACGAAAAAAAAGGAAAAGUGUGGGGAACCGAGGUCGUCUUGGGCUGUCGCCUCUCCCUCUCCCAGAAGGAAUGAAGAGGUUCUUGGAAAGCAGGGACGGGCGAUUCUCUCUGUCAGCAUCAGCUCCCACCAGCGAGGACGGGGCGAGAAAGCGAAACGGGACUUUCCUUGCUGUCUAUUUUUUCUUCGUCAGGCCAACGCCGCUUGCUUGCAGGGGCGCAGGCGAGUUCCCGCCAAAUGGCGCGGGUGCGUGAGUUGCCGCCAAAUGCUAGCUCUGGAUGCCAGCUCGUUCCGCGUCUCAUGGUAGACUAGUUGGUGCAUUUCUGUUAUCAUGGACUGCGCAUAUAAACGCAAGCUACACAAAAGUGACAAGGACAAGAACAGCGCAAGCCCUUUACAUGCAGUGGAGCCGCCGUAUCUCGCCGUUCAAGAUAUGCGUACUCGUAAGUGGCAUUUUAAUUUCACGUUGUGUAAUGCAUGACUGUCUUUUUCAAGUGAACAAAGGUCGCUUUGUAUUGUGUAAAUGGUUUUGCAACGUAUGAUAAACUCCUUGUCUUUCGGGCUUAUUUUUUCUGACAGGAAGAAAAAAAAAAGAGGCUUUACAUGAGAACGGAUCAAGCGUUCGAGAGUUGGGACAGAGAAAUGUGAGACGUACUUUCAUGUAUAUAUUUCUAAUAUUAUUUUUUCGUCUUGUAUUCUCGUUAAUUUUUCUCUAGGAAACGCUGGAACGACACUGCUUAAAUUGAAGCACAGUACGUGUGCGAAUGACCUGCUACGCUCGGAACUGUUAUCACCAUUCGGGAAGAAAUUGGAUGAAAAAAUAUAACUGUAAAUACCUGUAUGAUAUACGUCUGGUGCAUUGCAGGUAAGAAUGGAUUGUGUGUGGCGCGCUUCACCGCAUGUGGACUAGAGUAGAUCUAGGAACAUCAGACAAGAAGACACGUAUGUGAAACCCUGCGGAUAGCCCAUAUGUGAACUUUUUUUCCAGAUACGGAGGAACGGACACCGGUCGUGCCGUGAGCACUAUUCUGCAGGGCAUACUUCCAAAUGAAGCUGCACUGCAGUUCAGCUGGAAAGGGUCGCAGGGGAGGAAGCACGCCUUCGUGAAGCUCAUGGCCAUCACGAAUAUAACAUCUGUGAGGAGCACGUUCCCUGACGCUUCACUAGCAUCAGUGGCUGGAGUCGCAAAACGCUGGUUGGUUGGAGCAGCUGACAGGGAUGGAGGCCGGAAUGAAAGAAGGCGCUGUGACCCUGCUUCAAGCCCACCAAAUAUGAACUAGUGUUUGAAACUUGUGAACGUGUCGGUGUACAUAUACAAUUACAAGAAAUAAAGACCUGUAUCAGAA